AUCUUUCUAGUAUGAUUCAGUACUAAUGACUUCCAAUCAUUCAGACCUGGUUGAAAUCCAGGGCAAGAUA
rnacentral:tRNA from 1 species